rnacentral:pre_miRNA from 13 species
AUGCAACAAUCAGCUCAAACGGUAUUCUUUGGUUAAUAAUAAGGAUGGCAUCACGACUCAUUAUAUUAUUGCUCAAGAAUACCCUUUGACAAAUGUCGCGUG